rnacentral:rRNA from 1 species
UACGUAGGGUGCAAGCGUUAAUCGGAAUUACUGGGCGUAAAGCGUGCGCAGGCGGUUAUGUAAGACAGAUGUGAAAUCCCCGGGCUCAACCUGGGAACUGCAUUUGUGACUGCAUAGCUAGAGUACGGUAGAGGGGGAUGGAAUUCCGCGUGUAGCAGUGAAAUGCGUAGAGAUCCGGAGGAACACCAAAGGCGAAGGCAGUGUCCUGGGGAGUACCUGACGCUCAGGUGCGAAAGCCAGGGGAGCGAACGGG